AUCGCUCCCCCACCUCACUCUCCACCAACAGGCUGCUAGUACUUGAUGAUUGCCACUCGUACGUGAGUACCACACCAGCCACCUGCAACGAGAUCCCCUAUCUCCAGAUCCAAGUUACCUGAAUUUCAUAUGCCUCCCAAGGUUAGAGAGAUUUUGAUUUCGGUCCAAUUUGCUCGACAUGUGACCCUGUUUUUAAAAUACAUAGAGAAUUAUGACCCAUCUUUGUUACUGUAAGUAGUCUCGAUUGUGAAUAUCCCCAAUUGCGUCAAUUUUUUCUUUCUUGCAUCGAAUUGUCUGAACCAGUCCAAUUUUUGUUAUGGUGGAUUAAUACUGGGUUAGAUUCUAUGAUUCUGUGAUGGACUUAAACUCAAUGUGAAUGAUCUGAUGUAGGCAGAUUCAGUUGCAGGAGCUCAAGUUUCUGUUCUUGGUUGGAUCAAUCAAAAUCUUGUUUAUGUGAUGGUAUUAUGAAAAUAACAAGUGGAGGCUUCAUAUUGCAGGCAACAAGAAGAGCACGCAUUAAUUAUAUUCUUAUAAUGCUGGUCUUGUUUGCUUUCAAAGUAGGCUGCCCAUGCGUUUUUACAACACAUACUCAUGACAAAUGGUUCGGGGUUCAUUCACCCAUUCAUCUUUUCCUACUAGCUUUUUCUCAUCAUUGUGUGUGAGGGAGCUAGUUCUCUUUGUCUUCAUGUGCUUGACGCAUGGGGUGAUCUUGAGCCUGAGUCCAGCGAUCUUCUUUUUUUAGUUGGUUGUGCUACAGAUUUUUGUUUCAGGUAUGGGGGUCUAGUACUGUUUUUCAUCGCAGAAAGGCCUGCUAGUCGUCCAUACAUACUACGGGCUUGCUUUAUUUGCAAUUGCUCUUUUCUAUGCAAUUUUUAUCAAUGCUGCCUUUUCUUCUUCAAGAAUUGUGAAAUUGUUAUUAAAAUCCUACUUGUUUAAUCAGAUGCCUAGUUGUUUAUUCUGAUUUCAGUUGACUGUCUCAUAUAUUAUUUUUGAAGGUAUCACCACGAGAAGGAGAAGCAAGGGGAAGCUACAUUUCCAAGCAGAUGCCAACUGUUGCAAUUGGAGUCUAUAACUUGUUCUCAUGGUAUGCACAGUCGUUUAUGUACUUUCCUGGGUUUACAUGCCCAUAUAUUCUAUGCUAGUUCAUCAUAGCCGUAACCAUGGUUUGACUGUUCGUUUCUAUUUACCAGCAGUCAUGUAUUAACCAUUUUUUAAUUUUUUCUCCAUCCUAAUUGAUCUUGCACUUAUUGACUAAAUAGGUGAAUGGAUAUUUUAUCUUGUAUGCUCUGUAUACAAGUACUAUGUACUUCAAUAAAUACAAAUGAAAGUACAAAAUUGACAUGCAAAAAAUUGGCUCACCUUCUGUGUGUUGCCAAGGAAUAAUUUCUUAUCCAUCAUGUGAUGAAUUCUCAAUUUUUCUUUUCUUAUCAUGCUCAUUGUUGCUACCAAAAAGUACAUAAAAUUUGGCACAUUUACUGAAACAAAAAUUCUAUCUGUCCAAUAUCUACUUUCUGGUAGAGCUUGCAGACUUAGCAUGUAUUUUGGCAUAUCUUUGGAUCUCAUUCUUUCUGUCUCGGCACUUGGUAUUUCUUCCAUGCGGGGUGUUUGUGUUAAUGCCUGAGUGGGAAUAAAGGAAGGUGCAGGCUCAAAAUUUCAUUCACUAGUUAGUUUUGAAAAUAGUCCCUGACCGUAGUUGUUCCAGAAUCCUGCUUUGUGGCAUUUAUUACUAAUAAGCAAUCAGAUUUGCGGGUUCCUACUCUAUAUUGGAGCUUGAAUAUUUAACACCUCUUUUGGCACAUUCUAUAAACAAACAAAAAAACAUGACUUAUGUUUACCACAUAACAAUUAAUCCCAUAGGGAAGGUCCAUGUCAUCUUUUUUGCUUCAGAUUAUUAUUGCCGUAAGGCAUUGAUCCUGUUCAUCUUUAACCUAUUUACAUGUCUCUCAGAGCUAUCUUUUAAAAUAUGAUUAAUUACCUGUAAGAUGUGUAUUCCUCAGGUGAUUUACGAUUUUAGUGAUUAUUUGUGUGCUUCUCCAUUAAAUGAUAGCCCAUCAUUUACAAAGACAGUUUAUGGGCUCCAGAUUUAUUUCUAUUAAUCUUGUGCUUUUAGGAAUUGGUGGUGGCAGUCGUCUCAAAAAGACAGUGAGUGCAAGGCGCUGGUUUCCUAUGAUGUUCUGUUAUGCAACACCGUUUUGCUUUUCAUUCGUCGUCCAACAGAUCAAAAGUAGUCUCGGAAGUAAUGAAGGAUGUGCUUGACGCCUGUAAAUUAUCUGAUUGACGAAUUCUGAAUCAUGUGGUCCUGUGGAGACAUUUUUCCAAGUUCCCUUGAUAUACAAUUAAACCUGGUAGGUAUAAUUGUAUAAGUACACCUAUAAGCGUCAUCUGAUAUAGUGGAUGCUCUCAGUCAAUGACUAUACUUAUUGUUGCCUUUGUUGUAUGCUCUUCCCUUUCUUUGCAACCAGUGGCAUUGUUUUAGUUCUGGAUCUUUCUUAAAAGAGCAAGUUGUAUAUGUCUCCUAGUAGAG
rnacentral:lncRNA from 1 species